AUGUGUCCUACUAACAAAAAAGCUUCCCUUCCCUCAUUUUCUCUCUCACAAACCCCCCCGAAACCCUCUCUUUGUAGCACCUCACUAGCCUCAGCCGACUUUCCCUCUUUCCACCGCCGACAGCCAUACAGCCAACUUUUGUUCCCGCUAGAUCGUAGCUGCACGCACGACGAUGUUCACCGCCGCUCUAGUUUGCGCCACCUGCAGUUGUUCAAGCCGUCAGACGCCAUUUGACAAAUGAUUGAGACUCAAUCGCUCGUUUCGUGCCGCUCGCCCUACGCGUCAGCCAACAGACUCUGUCAGUCCCGUCGUUUUGUGCCUCCAGUUGACUGAGCCAUCGUUGAAAUGGUGUUUAGCUCGUCCAACAGUCGUUGUUUGUUUGCCGAUACCUUGGAUUUGGGUUUAGAGCCUUUGGAGCCAUUGUCCAGUAGCAUUAAGGAUCAAUUUUUGACGUUUUUGGUAAAUAUUUAAUAUUAUAAGUAUUUUUCAAGGAUGAUUAUAUUGACUAUUGAAGCAUCGAUUUUAGCAAAUACUUCGGGUAAGUGUUUUGGAUGUAAUGGUAUGAAUUUAUGAUUUGGGCUAUAAUGCAGCAGCAUCUGUAAUGAUUUGUUUGUUUGAAUGUUUGAUGAUGAGAUUGAUUUUGAAGUGUUGAAAGGAGUUGAGUUGCUGUCCAAUAGGUUUGAGAUUGGUCUUGGCAAGGGUUUGGUAAGUUUGGAGAUUCCAAGGGAUUGGAGCUACUAUCCAGCAAAGUUAACUAUGUUUGAACGUUUUGAUAGUGAAAGGUAAUUGUUCCUCUUGAGGCUGGAUAUGGUCAAAAGAGAAUGAAUGAAAUCCUAGUUGUCUUGCUUAAACAUGGCUUGCCUGACCCUUAAUUCUCGAUCUUUAGACUUUAAAGUUCAAUGUAUAGAUUAAAUAAUGUACUUUGUUGAGAGGUUACUCAUUAAACAAUUUAUCACUUUUAUGUUUGUUGAAAGUUUAGUUUUGUAUACAAAAGCAAUAAUUGAGAUUUUAUUUUGUGCAUGUACAUGUGAAAGAGAAAUAUUGUUGUAAUUUGUGAGGAGUAUUCAUAUGAAAGGUCAUAGUUGACAUAUGGAAUUUUUAGUGAA